rnacentral:lncRNA from 1 species
CAACAAUGUCGUAUAUUGCUGAUGGGAGUGUAAAUUGGUACAAGAUAUUUGAGAAUACUUACAACAUUACAAAUGCAUGUUCUCUUUGACCCAGGAAUCCUACUUCUGAGAAUUUAUCCUACAUGCAGUGCUUGAACAAGCCUAUCUUUGCAGCACUGUUUGUUACAGUAAAAAAACUAGAAACAAUCCAAUUGUCCAUUAAUUGGGGUCAGGUAAAUAAAUGAUGGUACAUUCAUACAAUGGGUGGCUAUGCAGCUAUUUUAAAAAAAAGGAUGAGGAAGUUCUCUGUGUGCUAAUACAGGAAGAUCUUGAAAAUAGAUUAAGUGGGGGGAAAAGAUGCAGAACAGUGUGUAUAAUACUUUUCAAUUUAAAAAGAAAGAGAGAGGGAGUCCUGGUAUUGUGGCACAUGCCUGAUAAUCCCAGCACUUUGGGAGGCAAAGCAAGACAAUCAGUUGGGGCCAGGGGUUCAAGACCAGCCUGGGCAACAUAGUGAGACCCUGUCUCUACAAAAAAUUAAAAAGUUAGCUGGGCACACCUGUAGUGCUCAGCUACUCAGGAGGCUGAGGCAGAAGGAUUGCUUGAGUCCCUGAGUGGCUCACGCCUGUAAUCCCAGCACUUUCGGAGGCCAAGGCGGGUGGAUCACGAGGUCAGGAGAUCGAGACCAUCCAGGCUAACAUGGUGAAACACCAUCUCUACUAAAAAUACAAAACAUUAGCUGGGCAUGGUGGCGGGUGCCUGUAGUCCCAGCUACUCGGGAGGCUGAGGCAAGAGAAUGGCAUGAACCUGGGAGGUGGAGCUUGCAGUGAGCUGAGAUCGCGCCACUGCACUCCAGCCUGGGUGAGAGCGAGACUCCAUCUCAAAAAAAAAAAAAAAAACAGAGAGAGAGAAAUAUCUAAACACACACACACACACACACACACACACACACACACACACACACCAUAGAAGGAUGCCCAAGCAAGUAAUAAAAUUGAUUAUAUGUUAGUUAAAGGGUGGGAACUUAGUGGUUAGGAUAUAGGAUGCAGAGAUGGGGGGAUUACUUUUUGUUGUAUUCUUUUUUUAUUUUUUAAACCAUCUGAAUGCAUUAUCUAUUCAAGAAAUUGAAAAAGACACACACACACAAACUUCCACCUAGGACUGGGGAUUCUUGGAUUCUUCACAAGUUGCUGGGUAAAUGUGAUUCUACCUCAGCUGGCUGUCCCUCUGUCGUUUUCCCUCCCUCGCUCCCACCAGGUUUUCCUGAGACCCUGGAUUCCAGUAAACGGUCCUGCCAUCUCAACUCGUGCCUCCAGAUCAUGGACUAUGUGUGACCUUGGGCAAGUUACUUCAUCUCUCUGGGCCUCAAUAAAACAGAGUAAUCCUAGUACCUGCCUCCAAGGGUUAUGGCAUUUGAGAAACCCUACAGACAAUGGAAUUCGAUGGUUGUUAAUGGAGGAAAAAGAUAUGGAGGAAAGGAGAACAAACACAAGAUGAAGGCGGGCUGCAGUGAGUGUGUGGAAUGAACCUCCUCUUCCUGCUGCAAGAGGUGGACCUCAGCAAAUUGAUCUCUGAGCUUCCUCACAGCUCAAGUAAAGAAAGUAAUGCAAUGAACUACAAAACCCGGAGUGUCCCUCAAGUUAAAAAUAGGCCUGCUGCUCAGAAGCAGCCAGCUUUGAUGGGCCCUGAAGUAAAAGAAAAGAUGCUUCCCCAGACCUUCCUAAAGGGACAAGGUGGCAGGUAGAGGUGAAGGAUAUGUGUAUAGUGGGCCCCUCCCCAUGUGGGGGUAAUACAAUCUCCCAGGGUCUUUGUGAGUCUGAAAUAAAAUGAAAUGCUUGACAGUGUCACCUAGAGUGGCUGGCAUACAGUAGGU